rnacentral:rRNA from 1 species
CUGGGCUCGAAGCGCAGUGGACUGGGGUAGAAAUAUCCCUUUCUCGCAAGAGACUGCUGCGGAGGUGCUGCAUGGCUGUCGUCAGCUCGUGUCGUGAGAUGUUGGGUUAAGUCCCGCAACGAGCGCAACCCUUAUCCCUAGUUGCCAUCGGGUCAAGCCGGGCACUCUAGUGAAACUGCCUCGGAUAACGAGGAGGAAGGUGGGGAUGACGUCAAGUCCUCAUGGCCUUUAUGUCCAGGGCCACACACGUGCUACAAUGGUCGGUACAAACCGUCGCAAACCCGUGAGGGGGAGCUAAUCGGAAAAAGCCGGCCUCAGUUCGGAUUGGAGUCUGCAACUCGACUCCAUGAAACUGGAAUCGCCAGUAAUCGCGGAUCAGAACGCCGCGGUGAAUACGUUCCC